rnacentral:misc_RNA from 1 species
AGUUUUUCUAUCAGUGAUAUGGCUUCUGAUGAUUCGUCACUUUGUGGCUGCAAUGCCUUGGAUAACUGUCGUCCUCUUUAAUGGCCUCAUAGUUUCAGUCACAAUGUUCUACUAUCUAAAAGCUGGAUGGAUAGGGAACGACCCUAUCUCCCCCAUCAUUGGUGAACAUGAUCCGUAUUAUCAUGUAUCUGCAAGGGAAAUAAGUCAUCUCCAUGCUGCUGCUGUUAUCAUGACUGCUGUAAUGAUUAUUUCGGUCUUGUCAUCCAUCGCUAUAGUGCGUCGUAUACUUAUGGCUACUUCAGUCCUGAAGGUAGCUGCUAAGGUCAUUGGAGAAGUACAAGCAUUAAUAAUUU